GACGAACGCUGGCGGCGUGCUUAACACAUGCAAGUUGAGCGGAAAGGCCCUGCUUUUGUGGGGUGCUCGAGUGGCGAACGGGUGAGUAACACGUGAGUAACCUGCCCUUGACUUUGGGAUGACUUCAGGAAACUGGGGCUAAUACCGGAUAGGAGCUCCUGCUGCAUGGUGGGGGUUGGAAAGUUUCGGCGGUUGGGGAUGGACUCGCGGCUUAUCAGCUUGUUGGUGGGGUAGUGGCUUACCAAGGCUUUGACGGGUAGCCGGCCUGAGAGGGUGACCGGCCACAUUGGGACUGAGAUACGGCCCAGACUCCUACGGGAGGCAGCAGUGGGGAAUAUUGCACAAUGGGCGGAAGCCUGAUGCAGCAACGCCGCGUGCGGGAUGACGGCCUUCGGGUUGUAAACCGCUUUCGCCUGUGACGAAGCGUGAGUGACGGUAAUGGGUAAAGAAGCACCGGCUAACUACGUG
rnacentral:rRNA from 1 species